rnacentral:rRNA from 1 species
AUUGAACGCUGGCGGCAGGCCUAACACAUGCAAGUCGAACGAGUGGCGGACGGGUGAGUAUUGUCUGGGAAACUGCCUGAUGGAGGGGGAUAACUACUGGAAACGGUAGCUAAUACCGCAUACCAUCAGAUGUUCCCAGAUGGGAUUAGCUAGGUGGUGGGGUAACGGCUCACCAAGGUGACGAUCACUAGCUGGUCUGCUAGGAUGACCAGCCACACUUGAACUGAGACACGGUCCAGACUCCUACGGGAGGAUGCAGUGGGGAAUAUUGCAAAAUCGGCGCAAGCCUGAUGCAGCCAUGCCGCGUGUAUGAAGAAGGCCUUCGGGUUUUAAAGUACUUUCAGCGGGGAGGCGUUACCCGCAGAAGAGGCACCGGCUAACUCCGUGCCAGCAGCCGCGGUAAUUC